UACGUAGGUGGCAAGCGUUGUCCGGAUUUACUGGGCGUAAAGGGCGCGCAGGUGGCGGUGCUGGCCCGGCGUGAAAGCCCCCGGCUCAACCGGGGAGGGUCGUCGGGGACCGCACCGCUUGAGGGCGGUAGGGGCUGGUGGAAUGCCUGGUGUAGUGGUGAAAUGCGUAGAGAUCAGGCGGAACACCCGUGGCGAAGGCGGCCAGCUGGGCCGUCCCUGACGCUGAGGCGCGAAGGCGUGGGGAGCGAACGGG
rnacentral:rRNA from 1 species